GGGCUUGACAUCCCACGAACCUGCCCGAAAAGGUGGGGUGCCCGCAAGGGAGCGUGGAGACGGGUGGUGCAUGGCUGUCGUCAGUUCGUGUCGUGAGAUGUUGGGUUAAGUCCCGCAACGAGCGCAACCCUCACCCCUAGUUGCCACCGGGUUAAGCCGAGCACUCAAGGGGAACUGCCAGCGUCAAGCUGGAGGAAGGCGGGGAUGACGUCAAGUCAUCAUGCCCCUUACGCCCUGGGCUACACACGUGCUACAAUGGCCAGUACAAAGGGACGCGAGACUGCGAAGUGGAGCUAAUCCCAAAAAGCUGGUCUAAGUUCAGAUUGCAGUCUGCAACUCGACUGCAUGAAGGAGGAAUCGCUAGUAAUCGCGCAUCAGCCCGGCGCGGUGAAUUCGUUCCCGGGCCUUGUACACACUGCCCGUCACACCACGAAAGCUGUCUGUACUCGAAGUCGCUGAG
rnacentral:rRNA from 1 species